UCCCAGCGGAGUCUCACUGAAGGAAACCUUGCUGUCUUCCAGGCAGCAGGGUCCCAAUUCCUGACAGGACUUGGAGCCCAUCAGAGGCACAGUAUGCCUACAAAGAGGAGAAACAGACUGUGUGAGGGACCUCUUUCUGAAAAGUGCCGUGAGCCUCAGAACCCUCAUGUCACCGUAGGGAAGUGGAGCCCACUCAAAAGAAGAAGUCAAACUGCACUCAGGACUACCGUGGCCAAUGGAGCUUGAACCACAUUUCCUAAGUCUAUUAAAAA
rnacentral:lncRNA from 1 species